GAUUCCCUACGGGGUGCAGCAGGCGCGAAAACUUUACAAUGCGGGAAACCGUGAUAAGGGGACACCGAGUGCCAGCGUCGUACGCUGGCUGUCCAGGUGUGUAAAAUACACCUGUUAGCAAGGGCCGGGCAAGACCGGUGCCAGCCGCCGCGGUAACACCGGCGGCCCGAGUGGUGAUCGUGAUUAUUGGGUCUAAAGGGUCCGUAGCCGGUUUGGUCAGUCCUCCGGGAAAUCUGACAGCUCAACUGUUAGGCUUUCGGGGGAUACUGCCAGACUUGGAACCGGGAGAGGUAAGAGGUACUACAGGGGUAGGAGUGAAAUCUUGUAAUCCCUGUGGGACCACCUGUGGCGAAGGCGUCUUACCAGAACGGGUUCGACGGUGAGGGACGAAAGCUGGGGGCACGAACCGGAUUAGAUACCCGGGUAGUCCCAGCCGUAAACGAUGCUCGCUAGGUGUCAGGCAUGGCGCGACCGUGUCUGGUGCCGCAGGGAAGCCGUGAAGCGAGCCACCUGGGAAGUACGGCCGCAAGGCUGAAACUUAAAGGAAUUGGCGGGGGAGCACAACAACGGGUGGAGCCUGCGGUUUAAUUGGACUCAACGCCGGACAACUCACCGGGGACGACAGCAAAAUGUAGGCCAGGCUGAAGACCUUGCCUGAAUCGCUGAGAG
rnacentral:rRNA from 1 species